rnacentral:ncRNA from 12 species
UUCUUUUAGGUCUGUGGUUGCGGUUUAUCCAAGUCCACGGCAGAUGCGGUCAAAAGGAUCCACGUAAGUUAUCGAUUUUUCGAAACGAGCAUGGCGCAUACUAGAGGUAAGCCGUACCGCUCGAAAUUGCAGCAUGGGGCUGCACGGGCGAGAGGGCGAUGUAUUAAAGCUUAGUCCCAGUGCGCGAGUGUGGGGUCAAAAACCAGGUCAGCUGAAAGAA